CUACGUUUCUGCCUGGGUGUUCCACAGGGAUCUGCGGCAGAAAUGGAAGCGAGGAUGUGCCUCGGUUAUCGCUGAGUAAUAAUUAAACAAGAACCACAGGUUUCCUAAAAGCUAUAUGAAAAGAUUUCAUCAAGUAGUUGUGGAAUACAUAACAUUACUAUAGUAAAUAGAAAGCCUACAUAG
rnacentral:lncRNA from 1 species